ACGUAAAAUGAAAGCACCUAACGGCAGCUCGCCUGCACAAAUGUAAGGGUUUCCAUCCUUUUCAAUCCCAUGAAGCACUGAAACACACGUGCAAGUGUGAGUUAAGGCUUCCUUCUUCCCUCUUGCCCCGCGCGCGGAGGGCGGGGACCGUGGCAUCCCCGGGGCUGAGGCCGCCCGCCUGACCCAGCCCAGGCACAGGCUGAUUUCUAACUCCCUGCAGGGGCUGCAGACCCCGAGCCCAAGGACAGAGGCCUGCAGAGCAGCUCCAGCCCAGCUGCCGACGCCCAGGACCAGAACCUCUAUGCCGCCGUGAACGACACACAGCCUGCGGAGGGGGUGCAGCUGGACCAUCAGGCUGCAGCAUCUGAAGCCCCCCAGGAUGUGACCUACGCCCAGCUGACCCACUCAACCCUCAGACGGGAGACGAUUGCAGCCCCUCCCUCCCAGUCGGGGGAGCCCCCCGCAGAGCCCAGCGUGUACGCCACACUAGCCAUCCACUAGCCCAGGGGACCCAGAGCCCGCGCUCUGGGGGGGAGACUGCAGGGACGCCGGAAGGUGCAGAAGCUG